rnacentral:misc_RNA from 1 species
UCAGAUUGUGUGAAUUAUCCUGAUAAGCUCAUGAUGUGGUCCUUUUCUAACGUUGAUUCUCAAUUAGGAUUCCAAAGUAAUCUGCGACUCUGGGCAGGAGGGGCUAAUCCUGGAAUGUCCCGAAUGUCCUUGUUGUUCGGGUUUACAAGCUGAAAAAUCAAGGAAAAUGAUCAUAAUCAAGGAAAACUACUAGAACGUAAAAAAACAACGUUGCUGUGCAAAAUGCAAGAUAUCACAGAUGAACUGAUUUAGCAGGUACUUCACUGCAGAAUGAGACAUCCACUUAAAUGAUGUUUUUUCUAGGAAGAAUGGCUGUAUCAGUGUUGAAAGGUUUGAAUUUGACAUGAAAACUACUUGAUUGUCAAAAAAUAAAUUUUCCAUGAAACAAACAAAUAGUUUGGGCAGAUACUUCAACUCAAAAAGCGACAUAGCCACCUUAAAUGAUGAUCAUUUUGAAGAACGAGUUGAAAGAGUUCAACAUGCAAAUUACUCAUGAUCAAGAAAUCAUUUUGCCAAGCAAGACAUCAACAAAUGUAGAACACAAGAAGAUUUGACAAAGCACCAGUCUGCAAUCUUGCCAGGUGGGCCCUAGGCCUGUGAACAAGUCUACUGUUCACUCUCACCACACUUUUGUGUAACAAAGUAUCGGACAUAUGCAUUUUGUUGACCAAUCUCUACACAAUAUACAUUAUAAUUUUAAUUACAACUAGAACUGGCUUAAAUCAAAGUACAUUUGCAAAGCAAACACAAACAACCAAAUAAUAUGAAAAUAAAAUCAUCCCAACAUUUAGUAGGGCUUAAACCUAGACCUCUUGGCUCCAGGGCCCCAACCUUAGCUAGUUUUAUCGCUAGACCAAGGACUCAUCGGCAAUCUUUACCCAAUUUAACCAUUGAACCUUGAAUGCCGACAAAAAGGCAGCUUUUGAUUUUGAUUUGAUAGGGUGAUAAAAUGGGAUAUGGAACAUAUUUCAUGGACUUCCACAAAAUCUGAAACAGAAGAUCGUACUUCAAUUCAUUGAUUAAGGAAGAAAGAAUUUUUGAAUCAGUCAUGAA